rnacentral:rRNA from 1 species
UACAGAGGAUGCAAGCGUUAUCCGGAAUGAUUGGGCGUAAAGCGUCUGUAGGUGGCUUUUUAAGUCCGCCGUCAAAUCCCAGGGCUCAACUCUGGACAGGCGGUGGAAACUACCAAGCUGGAGUACGGUAGGGGCAGAGGGAAUUUCCGGUGGAGCGGUGAAAUGCGUUGAUAUCAGGAGGAACACCGGUGGCGAAGGCGGAUCUCUGGGCCAUUACUGACGCUGAGGAGCGAAAGCGUGGGGAGCGAACAGG